UCUCCUGGAAACGGGUGGUAAUGCCGGAUGUUCCACAUGAGCUCAUGCGAGUGUGGGAAAGGCUUUUUGCGGCAUGGGAUGGGGUCGCGUCCUAUCAGCUUGUUGGUGGGGUAACGGCCUACCAAGGCGUUGACGGGUAGCCGGCCUGAGAGGGCGACCGGCCACAUUGGGACUGAGAUACGGCCCAGACUCCUACGGGAGGCAGCAGUGGGGAAUAUUGCACAAUGGGCGCAAGCCUGAUGCAGCGACGCCGCGUGCGGGAUGGAGGCCUUCGGGUUGUAAACCGCUUUUGUUCAAGGGCAAGGCACGGUUUCGGCCGUGUUGAGUGGAUUGUUCGAAUAAGCACCGGCUAACUACGUGCCAGCAGCCGCGGUAAUACGUAGGGUGCAAGCGUUAUCCGGAUUUAUUGGGCGUAAAGGGCUCGUAGGCGGUUCGUCGCGUCCGGUGUGAAAGUCCAUCGCUUAACGGUGGAUCCGCGCCGGGUACGGGCGGGCUUGAGUGCGGUAGGGGAGACUGGAAUUCCCGGUGUAACGGUGGAAUGUGUAGAUAUCGGGAAGAACACCA
rnacentral:rRNA from 1 species